rnacentral:rRNA from 1 species
GACAGAGGGUGCAAACGUUGUUCGGAUUUACUGGGCGUAAAGCGCGUGUAGACGGCUUUGCAAGUCGGAUGUGAAAUCCCACGGCUCAACCGUGGAAGUGCAUCCGAAACUGCAUCGCUCGAGUCUCGGAGAGGAAGGUGGAAUGCUUGGUGUAGAGGUGAAAUUCGUAGAUAUCAAGCAGAACACCUGCGGCGAAGGCGGCCUUCUGGACGAUGACUGACGCUGAGACGCGAAAGCGUGGGGAGCAAACAGG